rnacentral:rRNA from 1 species
UUAAAUUGAAGAGUUUGAUCAUGGCUCAGAUUGAACGCUGGCGGCAGGCCUAACACAUGCAAGUCGAACGGUAACAGGAAACAGCUUGCUGUUUCGCUGACGAGUGGCGGACGGGUGAGUAAUGUCUGGGAAACUGCCUGAUGGAGGGGGAUAACUACUGGAAACGGUAGCUAAUACCGCAUAACGUCGCAAGACCAAAGAGGGGGACCUUCGGGCCUCUUGCCAUCGGAUGUGCCCAGAUGGGAUUAGCUAGUAGGUGGGGUAACGGCUCACCUAGGCGACGAUCCCUAGCUGGUCUGAGAGGAUGACCAGCCACACUGGAACUGAGACACGGUCCAGACUCCUACGGGAGGCAGCAGUGGGGAAUAUUGCACAAUGGGCGCAAGCCUGAUGCAGCCAUGCCGCGUGUAUGAAGAAGGCCUUCGGGUUGUAAAGUACUUUCAGCGGGGAGGAAGGGAGUAAAGUUAAUACCUUUGCUCAUUGACGUUACCCGCAGAAGAAGCACCGGCUAACUCCGUGCCAGCAGCCGCGGUAAUACGGAGGGUGCAAGCGUUAAUCGGAAUUACUGGGCGUAAAGCGCACGCAGGCGGUUUGUUAAGUCAGAUGUGAAAUCCCCGGGCUCAACCUGGGAACUGCAUCUGAUACUGGCAAGCUUGAGUCUCGUAGAGGGGGUAGAAUUCCAGGUGUAGCGGUGAAAUGCGUAGAGAUCUGGAGGAAUACCGGUGGCGAAGGCGGCCCCCUGGACGAAGACUGACGCUCAGGUGCGAAAGCGUGGGGAGCAAACAGGAUUAGAUACCCUGGUAGUCCACGCCGUAAACGAUGUCGACUUGGAGGUUGUGCCCUUGAGGCGUGGCUUCCGGAGCUAACGCGUUAAGUCGACCGCCUGGGGAGUACGGCCGCAAGGUUAAAACUCAAAUGAAUUGACGGGGGCCCGCACAAGCGGUGGAGCAUGUGGUUUAAUUCGAUGCAACGCGAAGAACCUUACCUGGUCUUGACAUCCACGGAAGUUUUCAGAGAUGAGAAUGUGCCUUCGGGAACCGUGAGACAGGUGCUGCAUGGCUGUCGUCAGCUCGUGUUGUGAAAUGUUGGGUUAAGUCCCGCAACGAGCGCAACCCUUAUCCUUUGUUGCCAGCGGUCCGGCCGGGAACUCAAAGGAGACUGCCAGUGAUAAACUGGAGGAAGGUGGGGAUGACGUCAAGUCAUCAUGGCCCUUACGACCAGGGCUACACACGUGCUACAAUGGCGCAUACAAAGAGAAGCGACCUCGCGAGAGCAAGCGGACCUCAUAAAGUGCGUCGUAGUCCGGAUUGGAGUCUGCAACUCGACUCCAUGAAGUCGGAAUCGCUAGUAAUCGUGGAUCAGAAUGCCACGGUGAAUACGUUCCCGGGCCUUGUACACACCGCCCGUCACACCAUGGGAGUGGGUUGCAAAAGAAGUAGGUAGCUUAACCUUCGGGAGGGCGCUUACCACUUUGUGAUUCAUGACUGGGGUGAAGUCGUAACAAGGUAACCGUAGGGGAACCUGCGGUUGGAUCACCUCCUUACCUUAAAGAA